GCCCCCCACAUGUAUGCUCGUCCUCGCUGUCGACGCAGGGGAAUCCGGCGCGAAUCCGGAACUGUCCCGCAACGGUGUGCUUCGUGCGGUUUCGUGCUUCACACGGAGUGAGUCCGAGGACCUGCCGGCAGCGCGCCCGGUCC
rnacentral:ncRNA from 1 species